rnacentral:rRNA from 1 species
UACGGAGGGUGCAAGCGUUAAUCGGAAUUACUGGGCGUAUAGCGCGCGUAGGCGGUUUUUUAAGUCGGAUGUGAAAGCCCCGGGCUCAACCUGGGAACUGCAUCCGAUACUGGAAGACUAGAAUGCGGGAGAGGGAGGUAGAAUUCCAUGUGUAGCAGUGAAAUGCGUAGAUAUAUGGAGGAAUACCAGUGGCGAAGGCGUCCUCCUGGCUCGACAUUGACGCUGAGGUGCGAAAGCGUGGGGAGCAAACGGG